CACUUUCCUAUACUGCCUGUAUAAUUUUCAAAACACAGAUUUAUCAUUUACCAAGCAAGAAUCAUGUCUUCGUCUUUCACUGCGCAUCUUCAAAAUGGUAAAGAAACUCUAUUGUUUCAUAGUCUGAUUUGUUUUCAAUAGACAAAAAUAUUUUCUUCUAUUAUUCCUUUAUGCAGCUAAGAAACCCCAAAUACCCAACACUGUGAUUCACAAAAUCAGAUGCCCUGAUAAAUUGAACUUACUUAAUCUAAAAUAGAAUAAAAUCAAAUUAGCAACCCAGAAUGAAAUUAGAAGAGGAUUAGAGAUGAAGGUUGGUGAAACAGCGGUUGUCGAAUCGGAGAGGCGAAGGGAGGUGCAACGGCGGCGUUGCUGCUGUGACGGCCGCGCUACUGCCGGCGUUGACCUGGCUGAGAAAGCGAGGGAAGAGAGAGAGGAGGCGGAUGGGCAGUGCUAGAUCUGGACAAGGGGAGGCGGCGGCUGGGCUGUGCUGCUGUCGACGCGGGGGCGGCGAUGGCGAUGCUGCUGCUAGCCGGACGAGCGACAGGGGAGAAGCGUGGUUGUGGCGGUGGCUGGCGGAGGUUUCGCCGGAGGAGGGGGCGCGCGGUGGCGCUGGGUGUGUGCGUUGGUGUAGUGUUAAUUGAGGAAGGAGAGGGUGAUACGUAUAUUAAGAGAGAAAUAAGAAAUUGGGCCUUUUAGGGCCUUAGUUUUUAUUUAAU
rnacentral:lncRNA from 1 species